AUUGAACGCUGGCGGCAUGCCUUACACAUGCAAGUCGAACGGUAACGGGCCUUCGGGUGCCGACGAGUGGCGAACGGGUGAGUAAUACAUCGGAACGUGCCCGAUCGUGGGGGAUAACGAGGCGAAAGCUUUGCUAAUACCGCAUACGAUCUACGGUAGAAAGCAGGGGACCGCAAGGCCUUGCGCGGACGGAGCGGCCGCUGGCAGAUUAGGUAGUUGGUGGGAUAAAAGCUUACCAAGCCGACGAUCUGUAGCUGGUCUGAGAGGAUGAUCAGCCACACUGGAACUGAGACACGGCCCAGACUCCUACGGGAGGCAGCAGUGGGGAAUUUUGGACAAUGGGCGCAAGCCUGAUCCAGCCAUACCGCGUGCAGGAUGAAGGCCUUCGGGUUGUAAACUGCUUUUGUACGGAACGAAAAGCCUUCUUUUAAUACAGGAGGGUCAUGACGGUACCGUAAGAAUAAGCACCGGCUAACUACGUG
rnacentral:rRNA from 1 species